rnacentral:rRNA from 1 species
AACGAACGCUGGCGGCAUGCCUAACACAUGCAAGUCGAACGAGACCUUCGGGUCUAGUGGCGCACGGGUGCGUAACGCGUGGGAACCUGCACUUAGGUUCGGAAUAACUCCCCGAAAGGGGUGCUAAUACCGGAUAAUGUCUUCGGACCAAAGAUUUAUCGCCUUUGGAUGGGCCCGCGUUGGAUUAGCUAGUUGGUAGGGUAAAAGCCUACCAAGGCGACGAUCCAUAGCUGGUCUGAGAGGAUGAUCAGCCACACUGGGACUGAGACACGGCCCAGACUCCUACGGGAGGCAGCAGUGGGGAAUAUUGGACAAUGGGCGAAAGCCUGAUCCAGCAAUGCCGCGUGAGUGAUGAAGGCCUUAGGGUUGUAAAGCUCUUUUACCCGAGAUGAUAAUGACAGUACCGGGAGAAUAAGCUCCGGCUAACUCCGUG